rnacentral:rRNA from 1 species
UACAGAGGUCUCAAGCGUUGUUCGGAUUCAUUGGGCGUAAAGCGCACGUAGGCGGCUUUCUAAGUCAGGGGUGAAAUCCUGGAGCUCAACUCCAGAACUGCCUUUGAUACUGGCGAUCUCGAGUCCGGGAGAGGUGAGUGGAACUGCGAGUGUAGAGGUGAAAUUCGUAGAUAUUCGCAAGAACACCAGUGGCGAAGGCGGCUCACUGGCCCGGUACUGACGCUGAGGUGCGAAAGCGUGGGGAGCAACAGG